GGCGUUGUGGUGCAGUAGUUAGCACUGUUGCCUCACAAGAUGGAGGUUCCUAGUUCAAGUCCUGGCGGGUUUG
rnacentral:tRNA from 1 species